rnacentral:rRNA from 1 species
AGAGUUUGAUCAUGGCUCAGAUUGAACGCUGGCGGCAGGCCUAACACAUGCAAGUCGAGCGGAAACGACACUAACAAUCCUUCGGGUGCGUUAAUGGGCGUCGAGCGGCGGACGGGUGAGUAAUGCCUAGGAAAUUGCCUUGAUGUGGGGGAUAACCAUUGGAAACGAUGGCUAAUACCGCAUGAUGCCUACGGGCCAAAGAGGGGGACCUUCGGGCCUCUCGCGUCAAGAUAUGCCUAGGUGGGAUUAGCUAGUUGGUGAGGUAAUGGCUCACCAAGGCGACGAUCCCUAGCUGGUCUGAGAGGAUGAUCAGCCACACUGGAACUGAGACACGGUCCAGACCCCUACGGGAGGCAGCAGUGGGGAAUAUUGCACAAUGGGCGAAAGCCUGAUGCAGCCAUGCCGCGUGUAUGAAGAAGGCCUUCGGGUUGUAAAGUACUUUCAGUUGUGAGGAAGGGUGUGUAGUUAAUAGCUGCGCAUCUUGACGUUAGCAACAGAAGAAGCACCGGCUAACUCCGUGCCAGCAGCCGCGGUAAUACGGAGGGUGCGAGCGUUAAUCGGAAUUACUGGGCGUAAAGCGCAUGCAGGUGGUUCAUUAAGUCAGAUGUGAAAGCCCGGGGCUCAACCUCGGAACUGCAUUUGAAACUGGUGAACUAGAGUACUGUAGAGGGGGGUAGAAU